rnacentral:tRNA from 1 species
GGUGCUGUGGUGUAGUCGGUUAUCACGUCAGUUUUACACACUGAAGGUCCCCAGUUCGAACCUGGGCAGCACCA